CAGAUAUUGGAAUAUUCUUCAUGUAAUGCAGUAUCACUUCUGUAUGAAGCCACGUGUAACUUGUCCCCCUCCUUUCCAUCAUGAGAACUACUGAAGAUGUAAACCAAAUCCAGCAGGGAAACCAGUGACAUUUGUGAAUAGUAGACGGGAUAAAAGGAGCUGGACACACUCUUUCUUCAACAUCUGCCAUGAUAUGAUUUCACAAGCAAGAAAUGUGCCAAGGCUUCUACCCAAGAAUAUAACGUACAUGGACACGUCAUGGGGGCUCCCCUGCCCUCAAGCUCCCAUGGGGGUUCAGCCAAUGAAGACAAGAAGAAAGAGAGAUUGAGGAACUCCGGGAAGAUUGUCCAGACACCAACACUGCCCUAAGACUGUACUCGAGUCUGCAAAGAGAUGAAAAGAAAAAAGGUUGUGCUUACUGCCUUCACCAAGCUCUCAAGGUCAUCCAGUGAUACUGAUGAAAUAUUCCACCGGAGGGAGAAUCAUGAAAUAUUCCACCGGAGGGAGAAUCAAAUCCCUGUCUAGCCUCCUUGCCCGCAGGAAGUUGACAGAAGAGGGAUUGACCUGAAGGAUCAAGGGGUAUGCAGUCCAAGUGGGAAUGUAACAUGCAUGAGGUGGAGGGACUGAACCUCAAUCAGAUGGAGUGAAUGCUUCAGGUCACACAGCGAAAGAGUCCUGGAUGAAAACCCAGUGCUACCAGAAGGCAGUCUCUUCUCUCCACCACACUGUACCUCCCACAGCCCUCUUUUAGAGCAAGGCCAUUUCAGGGAAGCCUUGCCAUACCCGAUCUCCACAGGCAGCUCUCACCAACUGUGCUUCAAGUGCAUGGUCAUUCCAGAGCCUGGACGGAACGGGCACUCCUGGUGCUAUGGCCUCACUGCCUACAAAGCUAAGUGCACAGGUAGGGGGACAGGGUGCUUCCUUUGCUCCUGUGGUGAUCUGGAGACACAGAUCAACCCAGUGUGAAUGGAACCAGGCAGAGCUGCCCACCAAAAUAAAAGUGUGGCCAAAACCCAGCCCUGCUUGUGGGUGAACAAAAAACAUGCCCUCCAGCCACAACUGCAUUCACAGAGCUUCCGGGGAUGGCUCUUACCUGGGGCUGCUCCGUAUGGAAACAUAAUCCAUAGCUUGGCUCCCACAAAUAUGCUUAUCCCACGUGCUACAUAUGGAAGGAGAAAUCAGCUUGUAUUUCAUUAAACAGUUUGGCUCAGGUCUUGUGAGCAAAUAUUAGAAUCUGCACUUGGUACAGAGUCGUAAAUGCAUUGUUAGCAAAUCAGAUGGCCGAUAAAAAAUACAUAAAUCAAUCAAGCAUUCCUACUGCUAAAUGUUUACAAAUAAGCAAAACAACGAUCCCCUUGUUAAAAGUCUCUUCUGCUCUAUGAUUUAUUAAAGUUCUGAAUUCCAUGUUGGGGGCCCAGGGAGUUGAAGGGUGUGGAAGUGGGCUGGCCGGUCUAAGCCGUCCGUGAUCCAUUCCAGGGCAUUUGCCAGGGCACAGCUGGGCUUCCCCCACCCAGGGACAGUGAGAG
rnacentral:lncRNA from 1 species